rnacentral:rRNA from 1 species
GACGAACGCUGGCGGCGUGCUUAACACAUGCAAGUCGAACGAAGUGGCGCACGGGAGAGUAACGCGUAAUCAACCUGCCCUUCAGAGGGGGACAACAGGUGGAAACGACUGCUAAUACCGCAUACUGAAGGUGGGGAUUGCGUCUGAUUAGCUAGUUGGCUAGGUACAGGCUCACAAAGGCGAUGAUCGGUAGCUGGUCUGAGAGGACGAGCAGCCACACUGGGACUGAGACACGGCCCAGACUCCUACGUGAGGCAGCAGUGGGGAAUUUUGGACAAUGGGGGCAACCCUGAUCCAGCCAUGCCGCGUGCAGGAUGAAGGUCUUCGGAUUGUAAACUGCUUUUGGCAGGGAAGCGGUACCUGCAGAAUAAGCACCGGCUAACUACGUGCCAGCAGCCGCGGUAAUUC